UUCAUGGGCGCUGCAGUAGAGGCGAAGACGACGCGGGUUGCGCUGGGGGGCCGUAGGGAGGGAGGCUGCGGACCAGUGCGGGGAGGAGUUUGCGAGGGGAGGCGCUUACAGGACUCCCCCAGUUCUGUUAAGAGCUGGGCACAAAGAGCCCUUUGCACUCCAGCCUCAGGAGCGAGGAGCCGAGAGCUGGAGGCCUGUCCCCAUGGCUCAUCUGUCUCAGUGGUACCUUGGGGUGAAGCAGAGACUCUGGCGGUGGAAGCCAAAGGCUUUACCAAGUUGGUUCUGUCCACAACACAGGGAUUGAACCUUCCGAACCUCAAGAGUUCCUGCUAGUUCCCAAGUGGCAGAAGAAUGGAGGGGAUUGGGAAAGGUCAUAGCCACCCUGGGAAGCAGCCUUGCAGAUAAGUAUCCCUUCACCAGCCCGCCUGCAUGGGAGAAAGCUGAUGCAUGGGAGGAAGGGUCAGCUCUGGAAUCCACAAAGGGAGGGUGGAUGGAUGUCCUGUGACUCUGGCUCUUGAAGAUGACAUUUGUAAGCCAGAACAGGCUCCUCACUCUUGCAGACACAUGGGGACCUCCUCAGGGUUCCCUGAGGGACACAUUCCUUUACUCAGCUCCAGGAUCCUGUGACAAGAGGCUCUAAGGGCAGCUGGGAGAUGUCUUCUCACCUUCCCUGGUUCAGGGUUUGGAGGAAGAUGUAGCAUGACUCUAAAAAGAGCAAACCUGAGUCCUGGGGUGGGAUUGAGGGGACUCCCUUCUCUCCUCCACCCUGGUGACUUGCAGUGGUCUGCACGAGCCCUGUGCCGCCCUGUGGCUACCUAUUCUUUGUUGUGAGAGUCACAGGAAAUGAUGGGGACUGAGGGGGGCAGAAGGGCCCUUUUCAUUUCCCAGCCAUGCCUUGAAUGGCCACUAUAAUACCCUCGUGUGAUUGGAGAGAGGCACAGGCUUCCAGCAGCCAUGAUAGUACUAAGCUCAGAGUUCUACAUCCCACCUCUGUCCAAUAGUCCCGCCCCCGUUGCCCUGUAGCUGCUCAGUUUGCUCUGAGUUUUCCUAGGUCACACAAGAGCCCACAAUCCUCUAGGUGACAGAGAAGGAGGAGGCAGAUAGUUCCUGAGCCAAGGCAAAGCUUGGGAAUGGUCGUCUCCUGGGGCGGGGGUGGGGGCAUGGGGGUUGGCUCUUCUGUCUUCCAGAGUCAUCCUGUGGUAUCUGUGUUGGGGAGGAGCUAGGAGCUAGGCCUUCCAUGAUGUUGAUGAUGUAAUGGUGGCAGAGUGAUGAUGCUGGGUGUCCAGGGGUGAACAGCAGAGAGAUGGUCCCACCCUCUGAGAUCUUCGAGUACAAAAACGCGUCACCACAACUCAGCAAGCAGACAGCUCUGCGCAUCUCCAGACCCUGACCUGCCUUGGAGCCUUGGGGAUCCCUUGGAUUCUGACCUCAUGGAACUGGCGAGCAAUCUGAAGAUCCUGUCCUCCCCAGUACCUAAGACGGAGCUCCCUGAAGAAGUAUUCCUGGAAGAUAUACAGCUUAGGAUUCACCCUGCCUUUGAUGGACAGCUCCGGGGGUCGGGGGGAGGCUGCAGUUUAGAGCCCUGGGGCACUGCAGGCCCCCUCCUCAUUCCAGUCUCUGGAGAUGGGGUAGAGCUAGGCUCCCUCCUGGCCACAGGGUGGUGUCUCAAAGGACCAGUGGGGUAGGGCAGGGACUCCACGGGCAUGGAAGAGGGGCUGCUGAGGAGGGGCCCAAUGUCUGUCUUUUGUCUGUUUUUCUUUUCUUUUUCCCUUUCCCUUCCCUUUCCUUUUUUUCUGCCUGUUUGCUGCUUGAGUGAUGAGUCUGUUUGGGUGCUUCCUGGGUGAGGCUUAGCUCUCUGAUGGUUGUGAGGAGAGGCCAGCCAGCCCUGGCCUGGGGGAGCCUGGCUAGUCCCUGUGCUAUCCAGCAUAGGAAGGGACCUUGGAAAGAGAAAAGGGACACUCUAAGAUAAGGAGACCCAGUAGGGAGGUGCCAGGCAGGACCACGGCUCCAGCUCCCUCCAAUCGCUAGAGAGCAGGGUGCGUCUGUGUAAUGUUACAAAGCCUUUGCCCAGGACAUGGGAGUAUUCAGCCAGAGCCCCAAUCCAUGUUGCAUAACUGCCAAGGGACAGAGGCUGGCACUGCUCCCUCCUCAGGGUGCUGUGCCCAGUAUGGCCUCCUGUUCGUUCUUGUCACAGACCCUCCUGGAGGAGAUGGUUUUACCACCAGCAACGGAGUAGUGUGAGGUCUUCCUUGGGGCAGUCUAGAAACAGGAAGCCCUUGACCUGGGUGGGAGCUGGGGCAGUUGGGUAUUUACUCUUCAUUCCGGGCUGUGGUGCUUCAGCCCCAGAGACUCACAGAUAGGGCUUGAGGCUGGCAAAGCAAGGCUGAAGUGCCAGCAGUAGCUUGUGUCUCCGUGGGGCCUUUCUCUGUGUCCAGGGUGAGUGGGCUGUAAGGAUUCGUCCACAAGGGUGGCGGUCUUGUUGCUUCACAACCCAGGCUUAUGACCUCAUGAUGUUCUUUUCUCUCUAUACCUUCAUAGAGGGGCUGGGGAUUCAGCCUGUGCCUCUUGGGAGGACUCUGACAGGUUGGUCUCACAAACAUGAGCAUAGAGGGGCUGGGGAUUCAGCCUGUGCCUCUUGGGAGGACUCUGACAGGUUGGUCUCACAAACAUGAGCAUCCAAUCUCCCCUUCAGAGUCCCCCACGUAGGGAGGAACAGAUGAACGCAAGAUGGGAACAGGGUUGCAGGUGUCUUGGGCACAUGGUGUCUGCAGCCAGUACAGAGCCAGCUCAGGUCUCAGGGCACCCUCUGCAAGUCCCCUCGUCUCUACCAGCUUUGAUUUCCACAUUGUCAGGUGGGCCAUAUGUUCUCCUGGUGGCCUAGGUAGCUCUCAGAGGGCCCUGUGCCUGGCUCUCAGUAGAUGCACCAUACAGUUCUGUUCAGUGGGAGUUUAGGGAGUUUAGGUGAACCUUGCUGACCAGUCUGGGGCAGUGGCUACCUUUGGUCUCUGUUGUAGCUUGCCGUGUUUUCCAGAAGAAGAGGAACCUUGUUUCCCGCUAAAACACGGAGCCCAUCAUGGUUCUUUACUGUAAGCCAUCUUGGGACAGCGGUACCUCAGACAUUUACAGUUUCAUAGUCAGCGGAGAGAAGCUGUGUGCAAGAAGAACUGGACAAUGGGCAGUCGGAAGAGGCCAGAGUGGGAGAGAAACCCCCCCAGCUCUGGAACUAGGGAGAGAUGCUUCCUAGCCAGGCUGAUCCAGUCAGGGCUUUGCAGGGUGAGAAAGGUGUGGCUUGGCUGAGUGCUUUCUGGGAGGACAUCAGAGCAAGAAUGUAAACAGGUCAAAUACAGAGCAGGACUUUUCAGAGCUCUGAAAUGCCAAGGAGCAUCUUGGAUACUCAGGCUGGAACUGAGGGAUGAAACAUUUCCCAUCUUUGCUGGCUACAGAGUUAUUUUCUUACCAAACUUCUGGAAUGCUGGGAGGACACAGGAAGACACAAGAGUGAUAGGUAGAAUCAUUAAGGCAUGCUCAGGGGUCCUGGUAUCACCUGGGAGUAAAGAGAAUCUUGAGGGGUGGGGGGUGGGAGGUCCAAUCUUUGCCUUAGACUCAGGCCAGUUCCUUGAGGAGGGCAGGGUAGGCCAGUGGUGGGAGCAGCCCUGGAGUUGGUGAUGGGAGAGAUGUUUACUUUCAAGCAAAGCAAUUCUGGGUGUGUGGGUUAGCUGUUUUGUGGAAAGAUGCUGGUGUGUGUGUGUGUGUGUGUGUGUGUGUGUGUGUGUGUGUGUGUGUGUGUGUGGUGUAUGCAAGCAUGUGAGAAGAUCCUUCUGGGAAGGGGCCCGGCCACAACCAGGCAGGGGGUUUGCACUGAGGACAAGCAGGGUACUUUUUUUUUUAGAGACCUGAAGUGUUUGUGGGGCUCUGAACCCACAGCCUAGAAAUGGAAGCUCCCGGCUUCCUGCAUGGGUCACUGAGGUUAGGCUUGAUUCCUGGGGGGUUGCUGAUGGGGAAUGGAGGUAGACCCCCUGUCCUGGUUUAGGCCCCAUGCCCAGGAUGGUGGGAACAAGAGGCCUGUGGUGAUGGCGGGGUGGUGAGAGGGAAAGGCUGCAUGGUGUGAUUAACCUACUAACCAACCCAGGGCUCGGCCAGGACGCUGUGGCACGCGACGAGAUGCCUGGCCUUCUGUCAACUGACUAAUCCACUAACCUGGCCCGAGCAUGUCCUACUAACCCCGCAGCAGCCAAACCCUACUAACUCUGCAGGCCAGGGGCCUUCCCAGAGGCUGGGACGUGGAGCAGACAAGACUCAGGAAGGCCCUGCCUGGCGGCUGGGAUCUAUGUGCAGACCCAUCCUGCAGGACAGGGCAUGCUAAGAGACUCACCAACUCUGCCACUUGCUGCUGGCGGAACGGGACCCUUCUACUCCCCCUGGUGCCUGUGGUGAGGUGACAAAGGUGUUACCACAUGGCAGGGACUUCAAAAUGGAAAAAGACCUGCUGAGAGCGGGGUGCAGGGGACUGGGUGGUACCUCCAUUGUCUGAUCUCGGGUGUUCUGCACACAGACCCUUCUACCUGGGGCAGACAUGUGCUUUGAAUCCUUAACGUCUCUUCCCUUUCUCCCUUUCUUGCCAGCUUUCUCUCCCAUAGGCAGCUCUUUUGAUUACUAAUUGUCUAACCCCGGGGCACCCCACUCGCACCCUGCUGCCCCUUAACUAACGGCCCCCCUGCUGCCUUCUUCUCUCUAGUGGCUCCUGUGUGUGUCUGCUGGUGCUGUGCUCUGACCUACUAACCUGGCCCUACUAACUGGUUUCUCUUCUUACUAACCCAGCCCUGCCGAGCUCUGGGCCUCCUGGGGGCUGGUCCCUCCUUUUGGCAAGCAGAUAUCCCCAGGUUGUCCAGGCCAGGUCUGAGGCAGGGGACAGCCGUAUUAGUGAUGCCCAGAGGAGGAGGAGGAGGAGGCUGUCCUGUGGACGUGGGACGCUGGGCUCCGAGCAUGACCUCUCUCCUCUGUGCACAAGUCUGGUUGCCACCAGGAGUGGAUGGGACCAGGGGAUCUUGUGGGAGCCAGUGUGGUGCCUGUGGCUCCAGAAUUGGCAAUUCUGGGCCCUACCUAGCUGGGGCCCUCUGUGAUUUAGAGUAGGGAGAAAGGGGUAGGAAUGUCAUGGGGCUGGCCAUCUUAUACAGGAGUCCAAAGGUGUGUGUCUGGACCCAAAGCCCUACCUGGAAGCUCUAAGUGAGUUUUCCUAAGCAGGAAGCAGGUGGAGGGACAUGUCCCUGAAAGCCCACAAAGCAGAGUCAGCCAUUUCCCAUGUGAAGCCUGAGGAGAGGGCACCUGGAAGUCUGUAAAAGGGCCUUCCUCUCAGCCUGAGAAGAAAUGGCCAAUGACCAGGAAGAAGCUUCUCCACAUAGGUGGUCAGCCAGCCAGACCUCUCCCACUGAGAGGGGUGGAAAUCUCAAACUGGAAGUCUUAUUUGGUACCAUUUUCACACAGGAAGUAGGUGUGAGGAUAUUUUUUCCCUCAGGAAGUGUUUAGAAGCACUGUCCCCACACUUAGCAGACAGGCUGCCAGUUGUCAGGGCGCACAUUUGGGGAAGCGCCUCUACAGGCCCUUAGGGAUUAUGGGAGGGGUAAAUGGGUGCUGGGAAGUGAAUCCUAGAGGCCCACAGGCUGAUGGGAAGUCACCCCAGCUCCUUAUGCUGUUUAUAUCCAUGCCUCUGCCCCAGCCAGCCUCCCCCAGAGCCCGCCAGCUGCUAAGCCAGGGCCACACCUGGGGGUGAUUUCAUGCCUCACCUCCAGUAGGCUCAUGGCCUCUCCGGGCUAACCUCUGGCUCCUUUGCACUAACUCUAGCUCCUCCCCCAGCUAAUCCCUGCCUCUCCCUGGCUGCCCCAAGGGGCUGACCCCUAGCAGCCAGCCCCGCCCAUCCAGGGGGGCUCCAGGCUCCUGGCCUGGCUUUGGCCGGCUUCUUUGAACCACCCUUUCCUCUGAACUAAUGUUGUGCCUUUCUGGUCUGUUCCUUCCGGCAGAAAUGAAUGGCUGUGGAUUUCUCUCUGACUAACAGGUCUCACACCCCUCUCCCUGUUACCACUAACGGCUUGGAUGGCGGCGUGGCUGGUGAGGGAGAGGGGGAGGGAAGUUCUGAGCUUGGUUGCUACGGGGAGGAUGUAGCUAUUGAGAGUAGACACGUGACCGGUCUGGGUCAGAGCUUCCAAAUGUCAAUCAAAGUGGUAACCGGGGCUGAGGUGUGUCUCAGCCCAGAAGAAAGGAUACUGUCUACUGAGCAUCUUGGUGGGACCAGGCGCACAGCCGGCUUCCUGUGGGUGUGGUCACUGGCUCCAUCCAUAACCUUACAUCUGCCGUGGCUGUUAGCUCCCUCCUGUAAACUACAGUGUCGUUCUCAGCAAGUGGUUCUUAGCUCAUACAGGUGCCUGAGACACCUGUCUGGCGGGCCCAAUUUGUUAUUUAUGGACUUGUUGAGUACAAGGUCAUUUCCUGCCUGGAGUCCUUGUGUGGGGGACGACAUCGAGCUCCAGGUAGAAGUAUCCAGAAGGGCUGUACAUUCUCCAACGCUUAAACCCUAGAGUAAAACAGCUUGAUCUUUCCCUCUAAAUCUCUAAGGUAGUGCUUUUACACAGGGUAGGUGUACUGGGGGAAGGGAGGGUGACUGGCAGAGAGUUAGGAACACUUAAGGCAACGGAAAGUCUCCUGGGAGCAGGGACAGGAAGCCAUGAGGCCAGGGAACCCUUGUGGAGCUGGGAGUGACACCAGGUUGUGGUGGGCAAGAGAAGGGUGCUUGUUUCACUGAGUAGUCUGGAGGUCAGAGGCUAGAAUGCUGGAGGCUCAGGGACAGGCGGCUGCCUAGUCAAUGGGUGCUGUGAGAACUGCUUACCCACAGUCUUAAGACUGAUGUAGAGUUGUCACGCAGCUCAAGGAGGGGUCUGAGCCCCCCGAGGAAGUGGAGACAUCCCUUAGAAAGGUGGGUUUAUCCUCCAGGUACGGCUUGAGUGUACUCGCUGCUGCCCUCUGAUGGCCAGUCUGCCUCAUUUCACCAACAAUGCCCAGAGAAAGGCUGCCUAGGGCUCUGCUCCAGAUGCUGAGAAUAGACAGAAGCCUUCUCAAGGAAGGUGUGACAGGGUCUCAGUUAGGGACGGUAGCUGGUCCCUAGUGGCUGCAAUUAUGCAUGGUGGGCCCAGGACACUGAAGGGGGCAGAGAUCAGGAGAGUUAAGAUGAGGUAGGUGGGGAGGCUCAUUGAAGAGGGAUCAUGGCAGCUAAACCUUGACAGGCAGGGAGGGCAUAGCUGGCUACAAGCCACACUCACUUUAGGAUUAGAGAGGAUCCAAGCAAGAGUCUGGGAGAUUCCUGGGGGAAGUGUAUCAAGUGAGAAACUCAGGAUGUCGCAAGUUCCAGGCCUGGUUGACUAUAAACAUGGGCUUCAUCCCUUGGGAUGCAUGCCAGACGCAGCCUUCAAUUGCAAUCUCAGCAUAGAACACCAGAGACAGAUCUCUGGGGUCUGCCUGCCUGCCUAGCAUCAUAUGGUCUCAGAGGGUGGCAGGGCUGGAGUUCUCAGGCUGCCUCACUUGAACCAGCCCAGGUGGGACCGGGAGGGGCUUGCAAGGUGUACUGGCCACGUUAUAGAAAGCACCAGAACUUCCAGUAGCGGGAAAGACACUUUGGUCCAUCUGGAGAGGAGCAGGGUUCAUGGUUCACCACCCUUGAACCACUCUCUCUGAGCUGCCAUCUGCUCUGUACGAUGGGGACCACACUGCUAGGGCUCUUGCCAAGGUGAGCUGAGCUCCUCCGGAUCCCUGGGGAAAGCAAGGGACAGAGGGGACAGCAAGGGACUUAAAACUUAACACAGGCCCUGCGGUGGUGUAUGCCUUCUCCAGAAGAUCUGGAGGUAGGUGGUGUUGACGGUGGUGGUGAUGGUGUGUGUGUGUGUGUGUAUGUACGUGUGUGUGCGCGUGCGCAGAGAUGAGAGAGAGAGAGAGGGACGGUAGAGAAAAGAGAGACUAUAACUCGAGAAAACUGAGCCCCUGAGGCUCAUUCUAAUUGCCUGCAUUUGGGCUGCACCUGUCCCCUAAUUCCACUGAACUUUAGGCUUGUUUUGAGCAGGACCCUGUAGGUGCAGAACUGGCCUCCUGUCUGAAGAGGCCAUAGGCUGUUUGGAGGGAGGAACCACCUUGGAUCCUCCCCGAGGGGUGGGGCUGGAGGCAGUGAGGACUGCCUGGAGGUGUCAGGUUGGGAACUGUGGUCUAGCCACUCUGGGAUCUGUCUAGCAACCCAUUGUUUUAUAAUCAUCUCAGCAAAGGUGUCUGUUCCAUGUUCCCGCCGGGGGAGGCUGAGUGUGGGCCCUGAAAACCUGAUGUAGAUUAAAAGAUGUAGACCUUUCCAUGGGUCCAGCCAUAGUUACGGGGUCUUUUGAUUUUCAUGCUUGUAGCUGCCUCUGUGUAAGAUGCCAUUUUGAUAUUAAAACCGAUGCACAUUG
rnacentral:lncRNA from 1 species